rnacentral:rRNA from 1 species
AGCGAACGCUGGCGGCAGGCCUAACACAUGCAAGUCGAGCGCCCGGCAGCGGGAGCGGCAGACGGGUGAGUAACGCGUGGGGAUCUACCCAUUGGUACGGAAUAACUCCGGGAAACUGGAACUAAUACCGUAUGAGCCCUUCGGGGUAAAGAUUUAUCGCCAAUGGAUGAACCCGCGUCAGAUUAGCUGGUUGGUGAGGUAAAGGCUCACCAAGGCGACGAUCUGUAGCUGGU